rnacentral:rRNA from 1 species
UACGUAGGGUGCAAGCGUUGUCCGGAAUUAUUGGGCGUAAAGAGCUCGUAGGCGGUUUGUCGCGUCUGCUGUGAAAACUCGGGGCUCAACUCCGAGCUUGCAGUGGGUACGGGCAGACUAGAGUGCGGUAGGGGAGACUGGAAUUCCUGGUGUAGCGGUGGAAUGCGCAGAUAUCGAGAGGAACACCAGAGGUGAAGGCGGGUUGCUGGGCUGACACUGACGCUGAGGCGCGAAAGCCAGGGGAGCAAACGGG